rnacentral:rRNA from 1 species
UACGAAGGGUGCGAGCGUUGUUCGGAAUUAUUGGGCGUAAAGGGCGCGCAGGCGGUUGGUCACAUCGGCGGUGAAAGCCCCCCGCUCAACGGGGGAGGGUCCGUCGAGAUGGACCGACUGGAGGCAGGGAGAGGGCGGUGGAAUUCCGGGUGUAGUGGUGAAAUGCGUAGAUAUCCGGAGGAACACCAGUGGCGAAGGCGGCCGCCUGGACCUGACCUGACGCUGAGGCGCGAAGGCGUGGGGAGCGAACGGGGAUUAAGAAACCCUUG